rnacentral:misc_RNA from 1 species
GUUUAGGAUAAAAUGAAACAACAAAUUGCAAAUGCAGUAAGGCUAUUGAACUAAUAACUAUUCCAUCUUUGCAGGUUUUUACCAUUUUAUCAUGCAUUUGAAUUCAUCAGACCACCAUGGUUGAAAUGCACAAAAGGCUUCAUCAUAAAAGCAACUGCAUUACGACUUCAAGCACCUUAUGAACAGGGACGGAUCCAGUAAGGAGGCAAUGGGGGUACUUCCCCUACUGCCCUCAAAUUUCCUUUUCAAAUAUAUAUAUAUAUUUUGUGUAAAAAUUCUAACAUUACCCCAUAUUUCAAGAUAUUAAUUUGCCCCCAAACACAAAGAUGUGCCUUUUUUUUCCUUUAUGUAACUCAUAGGAUCAAAAUAG